CUCAGUAACACGUGGAUAACCUACCCUUAGGACCGGAAUAACCCCGGGAAACUGGGGAUAAUACCGGAUAAGCCAUAGACGUUGGAAUGCCCUAUGGUUCAAAGCUCCGGCGCCUAAGGAUGGAUCUGCGGUCUAUCAGGUUGUAGUGGGUGUAACGUACCUACUAGCCGACGACGAAUACGGGUUGUGAGAGCAAGAGCCCGGAGAUGGAUUCUGAGACACGAAUCCAGGCCCCACGGGGUGCAGCAGGCGCGAACACUUUACAAUGCGGGAAACCGCGAUAAGGGAACCCCGAGUGCCAGCAUCAAAUGUUGGCUGUCUGGAUGAUUAAAAAUCAUUUGUUAGCAAGGGCCGGGGCAAGACCGGUGCCAGCCGCCGCGGUAACACCGGCGGCCCGAGUGGUAGCCGUUUUUAUUGGGUCUAAAGGGUCCGUAGCCGGCCUGAUCAGUCCUUUGGGAAAUCUGGCAGCUUAACUGUCAGGCUUCUAAGGGAUACUGUCAGGCUUGGGACCGGAAGAGGUAAGGGGUACUCCAGGGGUAGGAGUGAAAUCUUGUAAUCCCUGGGGGACCAUCUGUGGCGAAGGCGUCUUACCAGAACGGGUCCGACGGUGAGGGACGAAAGCUAGGGGAGCAAACCGGAUUAGAUACCCGGGUAGUCCUAGCUGUAAACGAUGCUCGCUAGGUGUCAGACACGGUGCGACCGUGUUUGGUGCCGCAGGGAAGCCGUUAAGCGAGCCACCUGGGAAGUACGGUCGCAAGGCUGAAACUAAAG
rnacentral:rRNA from 1 species